ensembl:misc_RNA
GAGCCAGAUGGAAACUAAAGCCCUCUGUUUGUGACUGAACAGGUACACCACAAGCAGCAGUGUAAAUGUUCCACCCCGCUGCCUCCCACACACCCAGACUGCCCCAGACCCCACCCGGAAGGACCAGCUCCUCACAGGAGGGGUGACAGUUCCAUUGCUAUGCUCACUGAGCCUACU